ensembl:ncRNA F31E8.8 ncRNA
UCUGUAAAUCCCCAUCGGACCAAUAAGCCAUAUGUUUUGACACAUCAAACAGCCCUCAGCCAAAUAACUCUGUGUCUUUUUCUCUGGCGAUCGGCCAAGAAGCCGCCAGAUGCCAAUCGUCAUUUGUCAAGUGUCAACCCGAACCGACACUUUGUCUACCACUUGCCCGUUACUCGUUUUUUGUGUGUUGAGUGUAUCAACUAAUAUACAUCAUGUCGUUC